rfam:Laribacter hongkongensis HLHK9, complete genome.
GGCGGGCCUCCCCGCAUGGAUAGAUGGUGAACCUGGUCAGGUCCGGAAGGAAGCAGCCACAGCCAUUGAUUCCAGUGCCGGGGGUUAGGCUCGCCACC